rnacentral:rRNA from 1 species
UAGGGAAUCUUCCACAAUGGGCGGCAAGCCUGACGGAGCAACACCGCGUGAGUGAAGAAGGGUUUCGGCUCGUAAAGCUCUGUUGUUAAAGAAGAACACGUAUGAGAGUAACUGUUCAUACGUUGACGGUAUUUAACCAGAAAGUCACGGCUAACUACGUGCCAG